AGCAGCACUCACACAUAUUUUCAAAGAAGAAACUCUGCAUGCAAGAGAAGGGCGACAUAACAUGCUCCAAUCAGCUCUUCAAGACGCCUUUCUGCAACCUCCGACCAUUUUCCAGCGUCCAGAUGAUCAUCCACACCAAACGACAGGCCAAAGACAUUCUCGAGAAAGACAGGAUGCACAAGAACAGAAAUUGGACAUGAAAAAGCCUGAACGAAGAUACGAAAAUACAGAAUUGAUUUUAUAUUAUGCAGAGAUCCAAGCUUAGUGCAGGACACCAGAUGUAAUAUGCUAAAUAAAGUGUCGGUACGACAAACUGAUAAGGGCACAAAUAGCCUCGAGAAAAA